AAGCCAUUCUUAAAGCAAUGGGCUUCAUGUAUCUGAAUUCCCUGAAGGAGAGUUCUGGGGACACCAAAUCAUCAGAGGAAUGUGGCAAUGCUGAAGUUACUCAUGAUACCCAUACCACCUUUUCAAUAGAGGAAUAGUAUGAUCUCAUCUUAAGUGACAUGAACCAGUAGAAUGUGUACAGAAACUGGAAAAGUUCUUGAGACCAAUCAACAAUACAAAGAACGGAAAACAUGUCUGUGAAGUCUGAUAAAAGCUAGCAAGAGAGAAGAGAAGGGGCAGUUGACUUCCCUGAGCUGGGACAAACAGCCACAACGAGCAGAUGAGAAACAACAGAGCAAUGAAGCCUCUUCAGAAAUUUCGUGACAUGGAAUUUGAACCACUUGGAUGGAGGAGAAGUGUCAUUGUCUAAUGGCACCAACAUCAUAGGGAACUUGAGUGACUGCCAUAAACUGGCCAAAGAGAAGCAGAUGGAUGAAAUUUAGUGUCUUCAGUCCAUGUUGCUGCUCUCAGUCGCUGUUUGUAAAGAAGAAAAGCAGGAGAGAAAGGGAGGAAAACAAGCAAGAGAGGAAACUGAAGCUUCAUGGAGUUCUUUACAUUAUACUGGAAUUCAGCCAGAGAUGGUAACUGAAGAGACAAGGACAACAACCCAGCUUUGGUCUGCACCCUUUAUCUGUAUGGGCACUGAAGGGUCACACACAUCACUGGCCUUCCCCUUGAACCACUCUGAAGACAUUCUGUUGGCCUUGGUUUGCUGAAUGUACAUGCUCGUCAAAGAA
rnacentral:lncRNA from 1 species